GAGGCUUGGAUCCCCUGUUAGUCGGUGGCCUCACCGAUUUAAGGUUACGCAUGUGUUAAAUAAAACUGAUGUUGGUGUAAUUAAGCUCACAACAUGGACACUGCUAUGCUUUCCAUGUUUAACAGAAGCCUGUCAGUAAAACUGCUAGGCCAGCUAUCCUUAUUUGCACAAUAUGCAAAAACACAUAUUUAUCAGGACAACUAUUAUAACAUAUAUGAGACAUCUCAUUUGUUAUGGCUUUCUGUCUUUCACACAAGAUAAAUGUUAUUUGAGCUAUUUUCUAUGUAUAGGUAUGAGGAAUUGAGAAUGUAGGCACGACGGGGCAACUCAACAGUUACUUACAAACAGGCUUGGGCACUCCCAUAAAUGGCUCCAUUUUUUUUACCUUCUACUGAUCUGUAACAAAGAUGAUUUCUCUGUUGCUGUUGAGGUACACAGAGACCUGCUCAACUUGGAUAUUUUUUACUGCACCAUGUCUCCAUCAAUGUCCUAAUCUGAAAUUGUCCGUAAGGCACUGCCUUAGUUUUUAUUGUAUAGCACAGGGAAGAGUCUUCGUUGUUCUAGCUAUGGAGGUGAUCCUUGGUUGGAAGCUACUUUUGUAUCGGAUCGAAGUCGGAGCACAACUAAGGUUGACGUCGCUCGUGUGUUCCAGCGGGCCUCUCUCCAACAACGGAGGCGACUAGGUCUCCGCUCCCAGUUAAG